CUCUGCCCGCCCCGUCCAUCUCUACUCGGGGGAGGCACGAAGCUGUGCUGAGCGCAGCACAUUCCGGGCCGGGGGGGGGGGGGAGUGUGAGUGCAUCCAUCGGCACCUCGGCUGUCCAACGCGGCGGUGUGAGGGCGGUGACGCCGUGUUGCAGCCCGACCGCCGCGAUGGCCGCAGGGUGCCGACCCGCGUCCCCGUGGGGCUAUCAGCGCUUCGCCGGGGCGUACACGUUCCUGGAGAAGCGCAUCGUGGCGGAGCUGACCCCCCCCCGGCCCCGCGUUGUCCCCCCCCAGGACUUCACUUCCCACCCCUCCCGGCUCCGUCCCCUCCCCGUGGAACCGCACUACGGCCCCCCCCCCGGAGCGGCACCCACCGGGGGGUCCCCUCUGCGCCCCAUUAACGGCAGCCAGGCCGGGCCCCCCCAGCUACGAGACCCACAUGCGGAGAGCGCGGGCGGCCCACCUGCGCCGGGGGGGGCCGCCCCCAUACGUCUCCCCCCCCGCCUACAACGCUCCGCACCGCACCCUGCGCCCCCCCCCGG
rnacentral:lncRNA from 1 species